rnacentral:RNase_P_RNA from 1 species
GAAGCCCGCCAGACCGCCGCUGGCGCAAGUCCCGCAAGGGCGCGCCGGAGGAAGGUCCGGACUGCACAGGGCAGCGCAGGAGCUAACGGCUCUCCGCCGCGAGGCGAGGAUCAGAGCAACAGAGACGAGUCUUGCCGGGCCUGCCCGGCAAGGGUGAAACGGGCAAUCUCUGCGCGCAGCAACACCAAGCAGGUUGGCAUUGACGCGGCCCGCCGAGCCAACGGGUAGGUGGCACCGAGCCGGGCGGGCAACCCCCGGCCCAGAGGGAUGGCGGUCACGGCGCGCGAACCGCAAGGGCCGCGCGCCGCACAGAAUCCGGCCUAUGGCGGACUUCACAC